rnacentral:rRNA from 1 species
GAUGAACGCUGGCGGCGUGCCUAAUACAUGCAAGUCGAGCGAACAGACGAGGAGCUUGCUCCCCUGACGUUAGCGGCGGACGGGUGAGUAACACGUGGAUAACCUACCUAUAAGACUGGGAUAACUUCGGGAAACCGGAGCUAAUACCGGAUAAUAUAUUGAACCGCAUGGUUCAAUAGUGAAAGACGGUUUUGCUGUCACUUAUAGAUGGAUCCGCGCCGCAUUAGCUAGUUGGUAAGGUAACAGCUUACCAAGGCAACGAUGCGUAGCCGACCUGAGAGGGUGAUCGGCCACACUGGAACUGAGACACGGUCCAGACUCCUACGGGAGGCAGCAGUAGGGAAUCUUCCGCAAUGGGCGAAAGCCUGACGGAGCAACGCCGCGUGAGUGAUGAAGGUCUUCGGAUCGUAAAACUCUGUUAUUAGGGAAGAACAAAUGUGUAAGUAACUAUGCACGUCUUGACGGUACCUAAUCAGAAAGCCACGGCUAACUACGUG